CUCUCUCCACCCUCCCCCCUCCCCUCAUUUUCUCUCCCUCUCUCUCUCAAAAAUAAACAUUAAAAAAAUAAAAUCCUGGAGGUUAUUACCUUCAACUGAAAAAGUCACAGGUUUAAUUUAAUACAUGAAAUAUUGUUUUAGGAAGGAUGGAGCAAGGUUUCUGAAGCAGCUGGGAAAUACUCUGGUCCAAUAUAGACACUAACCCUGAUUAGCAUUAGUAAAUCAGGUUACACAUUCUGGAUUGCCAUGGCACACUGUCAGUUUAUACUGGAUUAAUGAAUUUAAAACUGACACAUUCAUAG